ACUCUGCUUUUUGAUUCUUCGAUGUCGUCUCUUCUGAUCAUCGUAGUGUAUAUUUUACGAAGUGUUGGAUUGUUCACCCGGUAAUGAGGAACGUGAGAUGGGUUUAGACCGUCGUGAGACAGGUUAGUUUUACCCUACUGUGAGUAUAUUUGAGUGAACUUUGAUAGUACGAGAGGAACUCUAAGUGAUGACCACUGGUGGUGCGAUUAACUAUUCAGUUAUGUUGCUUAGCUACGUCAUUUCGAUUAAGGCUGAAAGCCUCUUAAGCCUGAAGCGUAGCUCAAAUAUAUAAUUGGGAGAAUACUACUCUAUUAAGCAGAACUGUAAGGAUGAAGGUGUAUACCGACAUCUUGAGGUUACUGCUUUUAUAACUUAGAGUAGGUUUGGUCCUCCAUAAUAAGAGCGUCCACGUCGCGGAGGGUGGGACUGAAGUUUUUAUAAUCUUUGGUGCGAAUCUUAUAAGUCUUACCACACCUUCUGGCUGCUGGC
rfam:Nosema apis BRL 01 unplaced genomic scaffold scf7180000046572, whole genome shotgun sequence.